UACGUAGGGUGCAAGCGUUAAUCGGAAUUACUGGGCGUAAAGCGUGCGCAGGCGGUGAUGUAAGACAGAUGUGAAAGCCCCGGGCUUAACCUGGGAACUGCGUUUGAAACUGGGAGACUUGAGUGUGGCAGAGGGGGGUGGAAUUCCACGUGUAGCAGUGAAAUGCGUAGAUAUGUGGAGGAACACCGAUGGCGAAGGCAGCCCCCUGGGUUAACACUGACGCUCAUGCACGAAAGCGUGGGGAGCAAACAGG
rnacentral:rRNA from 1 species